ACGAACGCUGGCGGCGUGCCUAAUACAUGCAAGUAGAACGCUGAAGGAGGAGCUUGCUUCUCUGGAUGAGUUGCGAACGGGUGAGUAACGCGUAGGUAACCUGCCUGGUAGCGGGGGAUAACUAUUGGAAACGAUAGCUAAUACCGCAUAAUAGUAGAUGUUGCAUGACAUUUGCUUAAAGGGUGCAAUUGCAUCACUACCAGAUGGACCUGCGUUGUAUUAGCUAGUUGGUGGGGUAACGGCUCACCAAGGCGACGAUACAUAGCCGACCUGAGAGGGUGACCGGCCACACUGGGACUGAGACACGGCCCAGACUCCUACGGGAGGCAGCAGUAGGGAAUCUUCGGCAAUGGACGGAAGUCUGACCGAGCAACGCCGCGUGAGUGAAGAAGGUUUUCGGAUCGUAAAGCUCUGUUGUAAGAGAAGAACGAGUGUGAGAGUGGAAAGUUCACACUGUGACGGUAUCUUACCAGAAAGGGACGGCUAACUACGUG
rnacentral:rRNA from 1 species